AGCGCUGCAUCGCAUUAGCGCCACCCUAGUCCCCAUGCCCGUGAGAGGAAGCUCUUAGAAGGCCAGCGCUGUCGCCAGGAGAGAGAGAGAGAGAGAGGAGGAGGAGGAGGAGGAGGAAGCCACGACGGCGGAAGACGACGCAGCGCGGCGGCGACCGGCGGGUGUCAUGGCAAGGUCGGCCGUGGCCGUGAGGCGGGCGGCAUUGGCCAUCGUGUUCGGAGGGCUUCUCCUGAUGUCGUUGGUUAUGGACGACGUCAAGAAAGCGGCGAUCGGCGGGAGGAGGAUGCUGGCCAGAGGCGACGGACGAGGGCAGAGCACUCUGGAGGAUUUCCAGGCUGCUGAUGUUCCCUUCCAGGACAGCAAGAGAAGGGUGCCCAACGGUCCUGAUCCUAUCCACAACAGGGGAACCGGCAAAUCAGGACGGUCGCCGGGCCGAGCGUGACGUCGGCAGCGCGCAUGCGGAGGCGUGCAUGGAAGCGUCCGAUUCCGAAGAGGCCGGCGACAUGUUGGGAGCGGCCGCAAGCAAACAGAAGAUGCGUUGCAUGGACGAAGAGGAACAGAGACUGGGAUGUUGGGUGUAACUAGGGGGAGGUGGCCUAUCUUCUUCUAAGCACUGCUAUUUAAGACAGUUUUAAUCAUGAUGAAAACUUUAG